UCCUAUUACAAUUAUACAUCAAUUAUUAAAAUAAAGUCACAAAUAAUUUCGCAUUAAUGUAAUGUCGUCACAUACUAGAGACAUUUACAGGCGGCCAUUUUAAAUAACCAACACGUGCUAAUAGUAUCUUUAUGCGUUACAAAAUAAAUCAUGUUUUCAAUUAAAGAAUGAAUAUUUUAUAAAUAAUAAUAGAAAAGGGGAAGAUCAUAACGAAGAAGGAACAAAAUAAUGAUCAAUACAACGUAACGCAAGAAUAAUGGAAAAUGAGUUAUCUGGUCAUCAUACUUACCCUCAUCAAAAUAGUAUAUGGCCUGAUAGGAUACGACUGCAAUGGCAAUCACCUCAACGUUACCACUAUCUCUUUAAACUCCAUCGGGGACUGCAGCAUACAGCCUUUCGUACCAAAACCGAUGGAGGCAAUUGCACCACAAGAACUCCGUCCAGACACACGCCAAACAUGGCAAUAUUCAGCACCAUCAUCACUGGCCACAAGCGGAAUAUAUACCCAAAGGGACCUGGAUACACUACGAGACCACGUCAUGUUCCCAGC
rnacentral:misc_RNA from 1 species